CCUACGUGAGGCAGCAGUGGGGAAUAUUGGACAAUGGGGGGAACCCUGAUCCAGCGACGCCGCGUGAGUGAAGAAGUCUUUCGGUAUGUAAAGCUCUAUCAGCAGGGAAGAAAAUGACGGUACCUGACUAAGAAGCCCCGGCUAACUACGUGCCAGCAGCCGCGGUAAUACGUAGGGGGCAAGCGUUAUCCGGAUUUACUGGGUGUAAAGGGAGCGUAGACGGUGCAGCAAGUCUGGUGUGAAAGGUCGGGGCCCAACCCCGGGACUGCAGUGGAAACUGGUGAACUGGAGUGCAGGAGAGGUAAGGGGAAUUCCUAGUGUAGCGGUGAAAUGCGUAGAUAUUAGGAGGAACACCAGUGGCGAAGGCGGCUUACUGGACUGUAACUGACGUUGAGGUUCGAAAGCGUGGGGAGCAAACAGGAUUAGAUACCCCAGUAGUC
rnacentral:rRNA from 1 species